rnacentral:rRNA from 1 species
GUAGGUGCAAGCGUUGUCCGGAAUUACUGGGCGUAAAGAGUUCGUAGGCGGUUUGUUCGCGUCGUUUGUGAAAACCAGCAGCUCAACUGCUGGCUUGCAGGCGAUACGGGCAGACUUGAGUACUGCAGGGAGACUGGAAUUCCUGGUGUAGCGGUGAAAUGCGCAGAUAUCAGGAGGAACACCGGUGGCGAAGGCGGGUCUCUGGGCAGUAACUGACGCUGAGGACGAAAGCGUGGUAGCGAACAGGAUUAGAUACCCCUGGUAGUCCACGCCGUAAACGGUGGGCGCUAGGUGUGGGUUCCUUCCACGGAAUCCGUGCCGUAGCUAACGCAUUAAGCGCCCCGCCUGGGGAGUACGGCCGCAACGGCUA